rnacentral:rRNA from 1 species
CCUCGAAUCAGGUGGGACUACCCGCUGAACUUAAGCAUAUCAAUAAGCGGAGGAAAGGAAACUAACAAGGAUUCCCCUAGUAACGGCGAGUGAAGCGGGAUGAGCUCAAAUUUAAAAUCUGAUAGUCUUUGGCUGUCCGAGUUGUAAUCUAGAGAAGUGUUUUCCGCGUUGGACCAUGUACAAGUUUCCUGGAACGGAACGUCAUAGAGGGUGAGAAUCCCGUCCUUGACAUGGACUACCAGUGCUUUGUGAUACACUCUCAAAGAGUCGAGUUGUUUGGGAUUGCAGCUCAAAAUGGGAGGUAAAUUCCUUCUAAAGCUAAAUAUUGGCGAGAGACCGAUAGCGAACAAGUACCGUGAGGGAAAGAUGAAAAGCACUUUGGAAAGAGAGUUAAACAGUACGUGAAAUUGUUAAAAGGGAAACGAUUGAAGUCAGUUGCGUUUGCUUGGACUCAGCCUUACCUCGGUUUGGUGCAUUUCCUUGUGAACGGGCCAGCGUCAAUGUUGUUCGUUGGAAAAGGGUUAGAGAAAUGUGGCUCUUUCGGGAGUGUUAUAGUCUCUGAUCGUAUACAACGGCUGAUAUUGAGUGGUACAGCAUGCUUCGGCGGUGCUUGUGCUGGCAUAAU